UACGUAGGUGGCAAGCGUUGUCCGGAUUUACUGGGCGUAAAGAGCGCGCAGGCGGUCGUUCAAGUCGCGUGUGAAAGCCCCCGGCUCAACUGGGGAGGGUCACGCGAUACUGAUCGACUGGAAGGCAGGAGAGGGUAGUGGAAUUCCCGGUGUAGUGGUGAAAUGCGUAGAUACUGGGAGGAACACCGGUGGCGAAGGCGGCUACCUGGACCGGUUCUGACGCUGAUGCGCGAAAGCGUGGGUAGCAAACAGG
rnacentral:rRNA from 1 species